CCUACGGGUGGCAGCAGUGAGGAAUAUUGGUCAAUGGACGUAAGUCUGAACCAGCCAAGUCGCGUGAAGGAAGACUGCCCUAUGGGUUGUAAACUUCUUUUGUAAAAGAGUAAACCCAGCUACGUGUACCCUGCUGCAUGUACUUUAUGAAUAAGGAUCGGCUAACUUCGUGCCAGCAGCCGCGGUAAUACGGAGGAUCCAAGCGUUAUCCGGAUUUAUUGGGUUUAAAGGGAUCGUAGGUGGGUUGUUAAGUGAGUGGUGAAAGGUUCGGGCUUAACCCUAGAAUUGCCUUUGAUACUGGUGGUCUUGAGUAGAGUUGAGGUAGGCGGAAUGCGUGGUGUAGCGGUGAAAUGCUUAGAUAUCACGCAGAACCCCGAUUGCGAAGGCAGCUUACCAAACUGUAACUGACGUUGAGGCACGAAAGCGUGGGUAUCAAACAGGAUUAGAUACCCUGGUAGUC
rnacentral:rRNA from 1 species